UCCGGUUUGUCACCGGCAGUCUCAUUAGAGUGCUCAACUGAAUGUAGCAACUAAUGACAAGGGUUGCGCUCGUUGCGGGACUUAACCCAACAUCUCACGACACGAGCUGACGACAGCCAUGCAGCACCUGUGUUCAGGUUCCCUUUCGGGCACCUCUGCAUUUCUGCAGAGUUCCUGACAUGUCAAGGGUAGGUAAGGUGGGGAUGACGUGUGAGAGUACGUCC
rnacentral:misc_RNA from 1 species